rnacentral:lncRNA from 1 species
UCUUGAGCAAGGAGCACGGCAGACAGAGCCUCUGAGACACGAGAGCCUGGAGUGUAAGAAACACAGUAGAGGCCACUAAGUCGAGAACGCAGGAGCUGGAAGGACUGGUAGGAAAUGGGAGGUGGGGACAUGGAGGGAUGCGGACAGGUCCUGCACAGUCAGAACUGUGGCCCCUUCUCUGCAGGAAAUGGGCAGCCUUCGGAAGACUGAGCACACGGAAGGAUAUGACUAACCCUUUAAAAGGGUCAUUCUGACUCCUGGGUGAAGAACAGACUAGGAAGGGCUGAGAAGGAGGCAGGAGGCCAUCCACUGUCAUAUGGGAUGUGGAGUGUGACCCGGAAAGGUCAAGUACUGCCCUGUCUAGAAGCUCCAAUACAAUAUUGACUAGAAGCGGCAAGAGUGGACAUCCUUGUCUUGCUCCUGAUUUCAGGGAGGAGGCAUCCAGUCUUUCACCUUUGGGUAUGAUGAUAGCUGUGGGUGCUUAAAAAAUAGGUUUUAUCAGGCUGGGCACAGUGGCUCACGCCUGUAAUCCCAACCCUUUGGGAGGUCGAGGCGGGCGGAUCACUUGAGGUCCAGAGUUUGAGACCAGCCUGGCCAACAUGGAGA